CGUGGCUCUCCGUAUUAGCGC
rnacentral:siRNA from 1 species